AGUCGAGGGGUAUAGGUUUUCGGACCUAGAGACCGGCGCACGGGUGCGUAACGCGUAUGCAAUCUACCUUUCACAGAGGGAUAGCCCAGAGAAAUUUGGAUUAAUACCUCAUAGUAUAACACAACCGCAUGGUUGAGUUAUUAAAGUCACAACGGUGAAAGAUGAGCAUGCGUCCCAUUAGCUUGUUGGUAAGGUAACGGCUUACCAAGGCAACGAUGGGUAGGGGUCCUGAGAGGGAGAUCCCCCACACUGGUACUGAGACACGGACCAGACUCCUACGGGAGGCAGCAGUGAGGAAUAUUGGACAAUGGGCGCAAGCCUGAUCCAGCCAUGCCGCGUGCAGGAUGACGGUCCUAUGGAUUGUAAACUGCUUUUGCACAGGAAGAAACACUCGGACGUGUCCGAGCUUGACGGUACUGUGAGAAUAAGGAUCGGCUAACUCCGUGCCAGCAGCCGCGGUAAUACGGAGGAUCCAAGCGUUAUCCGGAAUCAUUGGGUUUAAAGGGUCCGUAGGCGGUUUGGUAAGUCAGUGGUGAAAGCCCAUCGCUCAACGGUGGAACGGCCAUUGAUACUGCUAGACUUGAAUUAUUAGGAAGUAACUAGAAUAUGUAGUGUAGCGGUGAAAUGCUUAGAGAUUACAUGGAAUACCAAUUGCGAAGGCAGGUUACUACUAAUGGAUUGACGCUGAUGGACGAAAGCGUGGGUAGCGAACAGGAUUAGAUACCCUGGUAGUCCACGCCGUAAACGAUGGAUACUAGCUGUUGGGAGCAAUCUCAGUGGCUAAGCGAAAGUGAUAAGUAUCCCACCUGGGGAGUACGUUCGCA
rnacentral:rRNA from 1 species